UACAGAGGGUGCGAGCGUUGUCCGGAAUCACUGGGCGUAAAGCGCGCGCAGGCGGCUCUUUAAGUCUGACGGUGAAAUGCCGGGGCUCAACCCCGUGCCCGCCGCGGAUACUGGAGGGCUGGAGACACGUAGAGGCAAGCGGAAUUCCGGGUGUAGCGGUGGAAUGCGUAGAGAUCCGGAAGAACACCGGAGGCGAAGGCGGCUUGCUGGGCGUAGUCUGACGCUGAGGCGCGAAAGCGUGGGGAGCGAACAGG
rnacentral:rRNA from 1 species